CUCAGAUCCAAGCUAUCUGGGUGUAUGUGGAACUUAGAGUCUACGUUCGGUGAAAUAUAAGUUAUAGAUUUUAAUACUGUUUUGUGAAAAUAUAAAAAGGACAUGUUUUUCUCUACCUGGAGAUAAUUAGGUUCUCUUCCACCACUUAAGUUAAUUAUCUCCAGGAUAGAGAGGAGGGGUUGCACUGUUACUGUGGGUGUGUUUAACUUUUGUGUUGUAUACUGAUU